rnacentral:piRNA from 1 species
UGCCUUCAGACUUUCCCACCGGACCACUUA